GCGUUCGCGGAUUAGUGGUAAAAUCUAUCGUUGCCAAAUACGGAAGUAUUAGCAGCUUCGAUGGGCCCCGGGUUCGAUUCCCGGCGAAUGCA
rnacentral:tRNA from 1 species